rnacentral:lncRNA from 1 species
UUUUUUAAGAAAUAUAGUAGAUUUGAGUUUGUGGUUUAAAAAUUAAAAUAACAAGAAUAUUUGUGGAUAAUUGAGUAUUCUUUUAGAAAUUUUCAUCACCAAGUUGUAUUUUUAAAUAAUUUUCUUAAAAACUAAUAUUUUUUUAAAAUUUUCAUUUUACAGAUAAAUAUUGUAGAUUUGGGUUUGUGAUUUAAAAAUUAGGAUAACAAGAAUAUUUGUGGAUAGAUGAGUAUUAUUUAAGAAUUUUUCAUCAAUGUUUUGAAUUUUUAGAUAAUUUUCUUAAAAACUCCUAUUUUUGGAAAGUUUUCAUUUUUUAAAGAAAUAUAAUAGAUUUGAGUUUGUGGUUUAAAAAUAAAGAUAACAAGAAUAUUUGUGGAUAAUUGAGUAUUCUUUUAGAAAUUUUCAUCACCAAGUUGUAUUUUUAAAUAAUUUCUUAAAAACUGCUAUUUUUAGAAAGUUUUCAUUUUAUAGAUAAAUAAGAAAGUUUUCAUCUUAUAGAUAAAUAUUGUAGAUUUGAGUUUGUGAUUUAGAACUUAGGAUAACUAGACUAUUUGUGGAUAGAUGAACACUCUUUAAGAAUUUUUCAUAAAUUUGUUGUAUUUUUAAAUAAUUUUCUUAAAAUUGCUAUUUUUGGAAAGUUUUCAUUUUUUAAAGAAAUAUAGUAGAUUUGAGUUUGUGGUUUAAAAAUUAAGAUAACAAGAAUAUUUGUGGAUAAUUGAGUAUUCUUUUAGAAAAUUUCAUCACCAAGUUGUAUUUUUAAAUAAUUUCUUAAAAACUGCUAUUUUUAGAAAGUUUUCAUUUUAUAGAUAAAUAUUCUAGAUUUGGGUUUGUGAUUUAGAACUUAGGAUAACUAGACUAUUUGUGGAUAGAUGAACACUCUUUAAGAAUUUUUCAUCAAUAGGUUGUAUUUUUAAAAAAACUUCUUAAAACUGCUAUUUUUGGAAAGUUUUCAUUUUAUAGAUAAAUAUUGUAGAUUUGGGUUUGUGAUUUAUAACUUAGGAUAACUAGACUAUUUGUGGAUAGAUGAACACUCUUUAAGAAUUUUUCAUAAAUUUGUUGUAUUUUUAAAUAAUUUUCUAAAAAAUUGCUAUUUUUGGAAAGUUUUCAUUUUUUAAAGAAAUAUAGUAGAUUUGAGUUUGUGGUUUAAAAAUUAAGAUAACAAGAAUAUUUGUGGAUAAUUGAGUAUUCUUUUAGAAAUUUUCAUCACCAAGUUGUAUUUUUAAAUAAUUUUCUUAAAAACUAUUAUUUUUUUAAAAUUUUCAUUUUACAGAUAAAUAUUGUAGAUUUGGGUUUGUGAUUUAAAAAUUAGGAUAACCAGAAUAUUUGUGGAUAGAUGAGUAUUAUUUAAGAAUUUUUCAUCAAUGUGUUGUAUUUUUAGAUAAUUUUAUUAAAAACUGCUAUUUUAGGAAAGUUUUCAUUUUUUUAAAGAAAUAUAGUAGAUUUGAGUUUGUGGUUUAAAAAUUAAGAUAACAAGAAUAUUUGUGGAUAAUUGAGUAUUCUUUUAGAAAAUUUCAUCACCAAGUUGUAUUUUUAAAUAAUUUCUUAAAAACUGCUAUUUUUAGAAAGUUUUCAUUUUAUAGAUAAAUAUUGUUUAAAUAAUUUUCUUAAAAACUGCUAUUUUUGGAAAGUUUUCAUUUUAUAGAUAAAUGUUGUAGAUUUGGGUUUGUGAUUUAGAACUUAGGAUAACUAGACUAUUUGUGGAUAGAUGAACACUCUUUAAGAAUUUUUCAUCAAUGUGUUGUAUUUUUAAAUAAUUUUCUUAACAACUGCUAUUUUUGGAAAGUUUUCAUUUUAUAAAUAAAUAUUGUAGAUUUGGGUUUGUGAUUUAAAAAUUAGGAUAACAAAAAUAUUUGUGGAUAUGUGAGUAUUAUUUAAGAAUUUUUCAUUAAUGUGUUGUAUUUUUAGAUAAAAUUCUUAAAAACUGCUAUUUUUGUAAUGUUUUCAUUUUAUAGAUAAAUAUAGUAGAUUUGGGUUUGUGAUUAGGAUACCUAGACUAUUUGUGGAUAGAUGAACACUCUUUAAGAAUUUUUCAUCAAUAGGUUGUAUUUUUAAAUAAUUUUUUUAAAAACUGCAAUUUUUGAAAACAUUUCAUUUUUUUAUAGAUUAAUAUUGUAGAUUUGGGUUUGUGAUUUAGAAAUUAGGAUAACAAGAAUAUUUGUGGAUAAUUGAGUAUUAUUUUAGAAAUUUUCAUCACCAAGUUGUAUUUUUAAAUAAUUUUCUUAAAACUGCUAUUUUUGGAAAGUUUUCAUUUUAUAGAUAAAUAUUGUAGAUUUGGGUUUGUGAUUUAGAACUUAUGAUAACUAGACUAUUUGUGGAUAGAUGAACACUCUUUAAGAGUUUUUCAUCAAUAGGUUGUAUUUUUAAAUAAAUUUCUUAAAAACUACUAUUUUUGGAAAGUUUUCAUUUUAUAGAUAAAUAUUGUAGAUUUGGGUUUGUGAUUUAAAACUUAGGAUAACUAGACUAUUUGUGGAUAGACGAACACUCUUUAAGAAUUUUUUAUCAAUGUGUUGUAUUUUUAAAUAAUUUUCUUAACAACUGCUAUUUUUGGAAAGUUUUAAUUUUAUAGAUAAAUAUUUUAGAUUUGGGUUUGUGAUUUAAAAAUUAGGAUAACAAGAAUAUUUGUGGAUAGAUGAGUAUCAUUUAAGAUUUUUUCAUCCAUGGGUUGUAUUUUUAAAUAAUUUUCUUAAAAACUACUAUUUUUGGAAAGUUUUCAUUUAUUUAAAGAAAUAUAGUAGAAUUGAGUUUGUGGUUUAAAAAUUAAGAUAACAAGAAUAUUUAGGGGUAAUUGAGUAUUCAUUUAAAAAAUUUCAUCACCAAGUUGUAUUUUAAAAUAAUUUUCUUAAAAACUCUUAUUUUUGGAAAGUUUUCAUUUUAUAGAUAAAUAUUGUAGAUUUGGGUUUCUGAUUUAGAACUUAGGAUAACUAGACUAUUUGUGGAUAGAUGAACACUCUUUAAGAAUUUUUCAUCAAUAGGUUGUAUUUUUAAAUAAUUUUCUUAAAAACUGCUAUUUUUGGAAAGUUUUCAUUUUAUAGAUAAAUAUUGUAGAUUUGGGUUUAUCUAGUAAUUAGGAUAACCAAAAUAUUUGUGGAUACAUAAAUAUUCUUUCAGAAUUUUGCAUCAAUAUGUUGUAUUUUUAAAUAAUUUCCUUAAAACUGCUAUUUUUGGAAAGUUUUCAUUUUUUUGAGAAAUAUUGUAGAUUUGGGUUUGUGGUUUAAAAAAUAGGAUACAAGAAUAUUUGUGGAUUGAUGAGUAUUAUUUAAGAAUUUUUCAUCAAUGUGUUGUAUUUUUAAAUAAUUUUCUUAAAAACUUAUAUUUCUGAAAAGUUUUCAUUUUAUAGAUAAAUAUUGUAGAUUUGGGUUUGUGAUUUGAAAAUUAGGAUAACUAGACUAUUUGUGCACAGAUGAAUACUCUUUAAGAAUUUUUCAUCAAUAUGUUGUAUUUUUAAAUAAUUUUCUUAAAAACAGUUAUUUUUUGAAAGUUUUCAUUUUUAGAGAAAUAUUAUAGAUUUGGGUUUGUGAUUUAGAAAUUAGGAGAACAAAAAUAUUUGUGGAUAGAUGAGUAUUCUUUCGGAGUUUUUCAUCAAUAGUUUGUAUUUUUAAAUAAUUUUCUUAAAAACCUCUAUUUUUGGAAUGUUUUCAUUUUACAGAUAAAUAUUGUAGAUUUGGGUUUGUAAUUUAGAAAUUAGGAUAACUAGACUAUUUGUGGACAGAUGAAUACUCUUUAAGAAAUUUUCAUCAAUAUUUUGUAUUUUUAAAUAAUUUUCUUAAAAACUGUUAUUUUUGGAAAGUUUUCAUUUUUUUCAAAAAAUAUUAUAGUUAUUGGUUUGUGAUUUAUUAAUUAGGAUAACAAGAAUAUCUGUGGAUAAAUGAGUAUUCUUUCGGUGUUUUUCAUCAAUAGGUUGUAUUUUUAAAUAAUUUUCUUAAAAACUGCUAUUUCUGGAAAGUUUUCGUUUUAUACAUAAAUAUUUUAGAUUUGGGUU